rnacentral:rRNA from 1 species
AGAGUUUGAUCCUGGCUCAGGAUGAACGCUGGCGGCGUGCCUAAUACAUGCAAGUCGAACGAGUUCUGAUUAUUGAAAGGUGCUUGCAUCUUGAUUUAAUUUUGAACGAGUGGCGGACGGGUGAGUAACACGUGGGUAACCUGCCCUUAAGUGGGGGAUAACAUUUGGAAACAGAUGCUAAUACCGCAUAAAUCCAAGAACCGCAUGGUUCUUGGCUGAAAGAUGGCGUAAGCUAUCGCUUUUGGAUGGACCCGCGGCGUAUUAGCUAGUUGGUGAGGUAACGGCUCACCAAGGCAAUGAUACGUAGCCGAACUGAGAGGUUGAUCGGCCACAUUGGGACUGAGACACGGCCCAAACUCCUACGGGAGGCAGCAGUAGGGAAUCUUCCACAAUGGACGCAAGUCUGAUGGAGCAACGCCGCGUGAGUGAAGAAGGCUUUCGGGUCGUAAAACUCUGUUGUUGGAGAAGAAUGGUCGGCAGAGUAACUGUUGUCGGCGUGACGGUAUCCAACCAGAAAGCCACGGCUAACUACGUGCCAGCAGCCGCGGUAAUACGUAGGUGGCAAGCGUUAUCCGGAUUUAUUGGGCGUAAAGCGAGCGCAGGCGGUUUUUUAAGUCUGAUGUGAAAGCCCUCGGCUUAACCGAGGAAGUGCAUCGGAAACUGGGAAACUUGAGUGCAGAAGAGGACAGUGGAACUCCAUGUGUAGCGGUGAAAUGCGUAGAUAUAUGGAAGAACACCAGUGGCGAAGGCGGCUGUCUGGUCUGUAACUGACGCUGAGGCUCGAAAGCAUGGGUAGCGAACAGGAUUAGAUACCCUGGUAGUCCAUGCCGUAAACGAUGAAUGCUAGGUGUUGGAGGGUUUCCGCCCUUCAGUGCCGCAGCUAACGCAUUAAGCAUUCCGCCUGGGGAGUACGACCGCAAGGUUGAAACUCAAAGGAAUUGACGGGGGCC